GGGGGUAUAGCUCAGUUGGCAGAGCAUUGGAUUCCAGUCCCAAAGGUCAUCGGUUCAAAUCCGGUUGCCCUCA